UACGGAGGGGGCUAGCGUUGUUCGGAUUUAUUGGGCGUAAAGGGCGCGUAGGCGGCCACGCACGUCCGUUGUGAAAUCGCCCGGCUCAACUGGGCGGGGUCGGCGGAUACGGCGUGGCUGGAGCAAGCUAGGGGGCAAUGGAAUUCCCGGUGUAGUGGUGGAAUGCGUAGAUAUCGGGAGGAACACCAGUGGCGAAGGCGGUUGCCUGGAGCUUUGCUGACGCUGAGGCGCGAAAGCGUGGGGAGCGAUCCGG
rnacentral:rRNA from 1 species